AUGGCAAAGGAAACUCUUGGGAAAACAGUCAAGCAACUGAAGCAAGAGCGGACCUUAGCUAAAUCUGCUUUCACCAAGCAAGCAAACUACCUGAGCAAAGCUGCAGAUGGUAUGAUUAAGGAUGAACUACAAGAGGAGUUCAGCAAGCUCAGUUCUCUGGCAAGGUAUGUCAGCGAUUCAAAUGAUGACUACAGGGCUGGCCUACUGGCUGAAGCGGGAACUGAGGAGGGUGAAGAAGUCAAGCUCGACAAGCACCAGCAGGCUGAGCUUGAAAGGACAAUGGAAGAGUGCGACGUGAGACUGGGGGGAAUCCGUGAAGCAGUCCAAUCCAACCUCUGGUCAAGAUAUGGUAAAGAGGAGGUAGACUUUGCAAUCCAAGAAGCGGGAAAAGCCUGUGAUAGAGCCCAAGCAAGCCCCAUCACUGCUAUCAAUAGAGAUGGCUAUGAACUGCAGCUGGAAAGAGUGAGGAGGCUAAUUCAUGAUGCAACUGUAAGCCUGAAAGACUGGGAAAAAUGGAUCUCACAUGAUCAGACAGCACACUUGAAAGGCACGUUAAAAGACCUGAGAAUAUUCGGCAGCAACCUCGAGGCCAGAAGAGCAGAAUUCCUCACUGCACAAAAAAUUGCAGAAGAGGAAAGAAGAGGUCCAGAGCCUCAACCAACAGCAGUUCCACAACCAGUGGUGAGAAUAAAGCCAACCAGUCUACCUAAAUUCACUGGGUUUAAGAGGAAUUUCCAUAGAUGGAGGAGAGACUGGGAAAAUCUGCAAAAGCAGGGAGAGCCGACUGGCUCAGUGGAAGUGAAGAAGUUCCAACUCCUUGACAGUGUGGACGAGAGAAUAUGUAGAGACCUGCGCCUGCCAACAUACAACAGUGCUGAUGAAAUAUUUAGAGUACUUCAAAACAGGUAUGGAGAUAAGCCAACAAUUGCCUUGGAGAUAAUUGAGGACCUGGAGAGGAUCCCUCCUUUAAAGUCACACCAGCCAAGGAAGGUAAUUGACCUAAUUCAAGCUGUGGAAAAGGCCCUGAAUGACCUCACGGAGCUCGAAAGUACUGGAGCCAUAAAAAAUCCCCUUGUGAUCAGAUCCAUAGAGAGCAAGCUGCCAGAUAAUAUAAAGAGGGACUGGCUGACUUUCAUGGUCAAUCCAAGAAAUGGAGUCACACUUGACAAUCACUUUGACAUCCUUCUAACAUUCUUAAAGACACAAGAGGACAUUCUAGAGAAACUAGACCAAUUGGGUGUAGGUGAAAAACCUGAAAAGAAAGCCACAUACCUGGAGAAGAGGUAUGCCUCGACAAAGUCCACGAGGAAAGGAGGAUGUGUUGUCUGUGGAGAUGAAAAGCACCGUGAGAAGAUAUUCUUUUGUAAGCAGUUCAAAGAACUAAAGCCUGGUGAGAAGCUGAAUGCUGUCGAAAGACUGGGAGCAUGCAGAAGAUGCCUCAGAUGUCAUUCAGAGGAUGAUGAAUGUACGGACACAUACCUGUGCAGGAACAGAGACUGCAGGAGAGGAAGCUCUUCAGAUCACCAUUUCUUUCUCUGCCUGAAAGGAGGAUUCAAGGGGAAAGAAUCUGUGAAAGUGGGAAAACCCAGCACUAGGAGGCAAACAUUCACAGAGGAGCAAGAGGAAUUAAUAUCUGAGCUUACCCCGGAUAUGGCAGAAAAAUUCAGGAGAGCCUUCACCAACAUGGCUGCAAAAUCACACUGCACUGGAAGAAGCCUUCCUGGAGUGAUGGACUCAAGCACACGUGAGUUACCAGUUAUUCUUAUGCUUCUCGAAGUAACCACCAACGCAGGACAGAAAAUUGGAACUCUCAUUGACUUAGCAUCAGAUACCAACUACAUCACUCAUGUAGCUGCCAGGAGACUGAAGCUUCAAAGUGAAAAGAUCACGCUUGUCGUCCAUGGAGUUGGAGGCAUGGCCAUGAAGGUAAAGACCAAAAGAUACUUACUCAAGGUAAGAGUCAAGACACCUAGAGGCACGGAGAGAGCUCAUGAGCUGAUCUGUUAUGGGUUGGAUGAAAUUGCAAAAGUUCACAGAGUAAUCAAAGCACAGCAACUCAAGAAGUUCUUCCCCAAUUCCAACCUGGAAGAUCUUCACAGACCAGAACAUGUGGAGCUUCUCAUAAGCCACCGUGAAGGAAGACUUGCUCCACAGAGAGUAAAGGUAGUAGGAGAUCUUGUCCUGUGGGAAAGCCCUUUAGGAAAGACCGUUGGCGGAGCACAUCCAGACCUCUGUGAAGUAGUGGACAUGGCCUUGCACAAUUCU
ensembl:lncRNA